rnacentral:rRNA from 1 species
UUUUGGAAUAGUAGUAUUGAUGAAAUUUAACGGAUUUGGCGGCAAGAUAGCCCCUUAGAGGAACCUGCCCUGUAAACGAUGAACCACGAAUUACUUUACUUUCUUUGGUAAUCAGUUUGUAUAUCGCUGUUGUUAGUUAGAUUCUUGAGAAUAUUUUCAUUCAUGAUAAUUUUAUCGACUUCAAGUAAAGGUGCAGCUUAUAAGAAAGAUAGAGGUGGGUUACAUUUAAGUGAAUAAUACGGAUGAGAAAGAUGAAAUGGUCUUUGAAGGUGGAUUUAACUGUAAAGCUUAAGAAAG